CACCAGUAUAUUACACCAGUCAGUAUAUUACCACCAUCAGUAAUGACACCAGUCAUUAUAUUACACAACAGUAUAUUACCACCAGUAUAUUACCACCAGUCAGUAUAUUACCACCAGUAUAUUACCACCAGUCAGUAUAUUACACC
rnacentral:lncRNA from 1 species